rnacentral:rRNA from 1 species
AACGAACGCUGGCGGCAUGCCUAACACAUGCAAGUCGAACGAGACCUUCGGGUCUAGUGGCGCACGGGUGCGUAACGCGUGGGAACCUGCCCUUAGGUUCGGAAUAACUCCCCGAAAGGGGUGCUAAUACCGGAUAAUGUCUUCGGACCAAAGAUUUAUCGCCUUUGGAUGGGCCCGCGUUGGAUUAGCUAGUUGGUAGGGUAAAAGCCUACCACGGCGACGAUCCAUAGCUGGUCUGGGAGGAUGAUCAGCCACACUGGGACUGAGACACGGCCCAGACUCCUACGGGAGGGAGCAGUGGGGAAUAUUGGACAAUGGGCGAAAGCCUGAUCCAGCAAUGCCGCGUGAGUGAUGAAGGCCUUAGGGUUGUAAAGCUCUUUUACCCGGGAUGAUAAUGACGGUACCGGGAGAAAAAGCUCCGGCUAACUCCGUG